rnacentral:rRNA from 1 species
CUCGAAAGCUCUUGCGCGCGAGGAUGAGGCCGCGGCCGAUUAGGUAGUAGGUAGUGUAACGGACCACCUAGCCUUCGAUCGGUACGGGCCGUGGGAGCGGGAGCCCGGAGACGGGUACUUAGACAAGGACCUGGGCCCUAAGGGGCGCAGCAUUCGCGAAAACUCCCCAAUGCGCGAAAGCGUGAGGGGGGGACCCCAAGUGCCAGCACAAAGUGUUGGCUUUUCUGGAGUGCAAAAAGCUCCAGGAAUAAGGGCUGGGUAAGACCGGUGCCAGCCGCCGCGGUAACACCGGCAGCCCAAGUGAUGUCCGCAAUUAUUGGGCUUAAAGCGUUCGUAGCCGGCCUGUUAAGUCCCCGGUCAAAUCCGACGGCUCAACCGUCGGCUAUCUGGGGAUACUGGCAGGCUUGAGGCCGGGAGAGGUCAGAGGUACUCCUGGGGUAGGGGUAAAAUCCGAUAAUCCUGGGGGGACCACCAGUGGCGAAGGCGUCUGACUGGAACGGGCCUGACGGUGAGGGACGAAACCCUGGGGAGCGAUCCGGAUUAGAUACCCGGGUAGUCCAGGGCGUAAACGAUGUGGGCUGGGUGUGGGCUAAUCAGAAGGAUUAGUCUGUGCCGAAGCGAAAGCGAUAAGCCCACCGCCUGGGGAGUACGG